rnacentral:rRNA from 1 species
UGCUUAACACAUGCAAGUCGAACGGAAAGGCCCAAGCUUGCUUGGGUACUCGAGUGGCGAACGGGUGAGUAACACGUGGGUGAUCUGCCCUGCACUUCGGGAUAAGCCUGGGAAACUGGGUCUAAUACCGGAUAGGACGAUGGUUUGGAUGCCAUUGUGGAAAGUUUUUUCGGUGUGGGAUGAGCUCGCGGCCUAUCAGCUUGUUGGUGGGGUAAUGGCCUACCAAGGCGUCGACGGGUAGCCGGCCUGAGAGGGUGUACGGCCACAUUGGGACUGAGAUACGGCCCAGACUCCUACGGGAGGCAGCAGUGGGGAAUAUUGCACAAUGGGCGCAAGCCUGAUGCAGCGACGCCGCGUGGGGGAUGACGGCCUUCGGGUUGUAAACUCCUUUCGCUAGGGACGAAGCGUUUUUGUGACGGUACCUGGAGAAGAAGCACCGGCUAACUACGUGCCAGCAGCCGCGGUAAUACGUAGGGUGCGAGCGUUGUCCGGAAUUACUGGGCGUAAAGAGCUCGUAGGUGGUUUGUCGCGUCGUUUGUGUAAGCCCGCAGCUUAACUGCGGGACUGCAGGCGAUACGGGCAUAACUUGAGUGCUGUAGGGGAGACUGGAAUUCCUGGUGUAGCGGUGGAAUGCGCAGAUAUCAGGAGGAACACCGAUGGCGAAGGCAGGUCUCUGGGCAGUAACUGACGCUGAGGAGCGAAAGCAUGGGUAGCGAACAGGAUUAGAUAC